CCUACGGGUGGCAGCAGUGAGGAAUAUUGGUCAAUGGGCGAGAGCCUGAACCAGCCAAGUCGCGUGAAGGAUGACUGCCCUACGGGUUGUAAACUUCUUUUAUAAAGGAAUAAAGUGAGGCACGUGUGCCUUUUUGUAUGUACUUUAUGAAUAAGGAUCGGCUAACUCCGUGCCAGCAGCCGCGGUAAUACGGAGGAUGCGAGCGUUAUCCGGAUUUAUUGGGUUUAAAGGGAGCGUAGAUGGGUUGUUAAGUCAGUUGUGAAAGUUUGCGGCUCAACCGUAAAAUUGCAAUUGAUACUGGCAGACUUGAGUACAGUUGAGGUAGGCGGAAUUCGUGGUGUAGCGGUGAAAUGCUUAGAUAUCACGAAGAACACCGAUUGCGAAGGCAGCUUACUAGACUGCCACUGACAUUGAUGCUCGAAAGUGUGGGUAUCAAACAGGAUUAGAUACCCCAGUAGUC
rnacentral:rRNA from 1 species